rnacentral:pre_miRNA from 1 species
UCUCAAGGAUGAGCAAAGAAAGUGGUUCCUUGAGAUGGAAUCUACUCCUGGUGACUACUGUGAA